AGAGUUUGAUCCUGGCUCAGGACGAACGCUGGCGGUGUGCUUCACACAUGCAAGUCGAACGGAGUAGCAAUACUCAGUGGCGGACGGGUGAGUAACACGUGGGAAUCUACCAUUAGGUGGGGAAUAACAGGCCGAAAGGACUGCUAAUGCCGCAUAUGUAGGCAUCUCGACAGAGAUGUUUAUGAAAGGAGUAAUCCGCCUUUUGAUGAGCCCGCGUCCGAUUAGCUAGUUGGUAGGGUAAAAGCCUACCAAGGCGACGAUCGGUAGGUGGUCUGAGAGGAUGAUCACCCACAAUGGGACUGAGACACGGCCCAUACUCCUACGGGAGGCAGCAGUGGGGAAUUUUACGCAAUGGGGGAAACCCUGACGUAGCGACACCGCGUGAGCGAAGAAGCCCUUUGGGGUGUAAAGCUCUGUCAACAGGAACGAAACAAAUGACGGUACCUGUGGAGGAGGCAUCGGCUAACUACGUGCCAGCAGCCGCGGUAAGACGUAGGAUGCAAGCGUUGUCCGGAUUUAUUGGGCGUAAAGAGUUCGUAGGCGGUUUGUUAAGUCUGAUGUUAAAGACCGGGGCUCAACCUCGGAAAUGCAUUGGAUACUGGCAGACUGGAGUGCAGUAGAGGCUAGUGGAAUUCCCAGUGUAGCGGUGAAAUGCGUAGA
rnacentral:rRNA from 1 species